UCUCACAAACUCAAGCAAGCUAAGGAGAGAAAAUGGAGGCGCAAAGGAUUCAGGAAUUGAAGGGUUUGGUGGAGUUCUGCAAACUAAACCCACAUGUCUUACACACUCCGUCUCUUGCAUUUUUCAAGAAUUUUCUGCAAAGUUUUGGAGCUCGAAUUCCGGCGUUUGGAGGAUCGAGCAAUGAUGGUGAGGACCAUGAAGAUAAAAAGCCGUUUGCUUCAAGGAAGCGCAAUGCACCAAUGGAGGAUGCCUUAAAUGACGACAUUGUUGAAUCUGACGCUGAGUUAGAUAAUUCAGACAUUGUGGAGCCUGACAAUGAUCCUCCACAGAAAGUGGGUGCUGUUGAAGUAACCGAAGAUAAUCAAGAAGCUGCUCAGUUAUCGAAAGCAAAAGCUAUGGCAGCACUCGCUGAAGGAGAAGUCAUCCUGAUUCAUUCUGGUAGCGACUUGGAUGAGAAACUCGAUGCUGCUUCAAAGGCAUCUUGCCUCUCAGUUCUCUACUUCACCGCAACGUGGUGUGGGCCUUGCCUUUAUGUCGGCCCUGUUUUCACUAGCUUGGCGGCUAAAUACCCAAAAGUCGUUUUCUUAAAAGUAGACAUCGACGAGGCUAGACAGGUUGCUUUCAAAUGGGGCAUCAGUAGCAUCCCGACCUUCUUCUUCAUCAGAAAUGGUGAGGAGGUGGAUCAGCUCGUCACCGUGGACAAAAACGCGCUCGAGCAGAAGAUUGCUCAGCAUGCUUGAUUGAUUGUGUUGGAACAACCAUCUACAUUUGAUAUAUAGAACUACAUUUUUACAAAUAACUUUCCUUUGUUAUUAUGUUUGGAUAUUACAUGUGAGUUGUCUCACCUUACAAAUGUGAAGGAAAAAAGAGAUCAGUUAGAGAAGGCUGCAGUGAGCAAACUGGAGUUGCUUGCAAUGCUGAGCUGAAUGAAGAUGAUCCAAGUCACUGCCAUGUGAGCAAGCUUGGAGCACGAGAUAGAGUCAAGAUUGUACCACUGCCAGCUGGUGAAGAUCAGAGAGAUGUUGUGGUCUUGCCUAACAAAAGUGAGGGCCAAAAGUGUAUUUGGAGAGACAUAGUUGUUAAAGCAUUGAUGGAGAAGAAAGCUUAGUGAUUCUGUUAUGAUUAGUGUCUGUAAUCGGCUUGUACAAGA